rnacentral:ncRNA from 1 species
GCAAAGAUAAAAACACAGUUCCGGUUGGUAGUCCGGACGCAGUUUAAACUGUAAGUAACCUGCCUCCUUGGUUGUCCGUUCUUUGCA